rnacentral:sRNA from 1 species
UGGAGUCAACACGGCUGAACCUGCGGAGCU